UACGUAGGGGGCAAGCGUUGUCCGGAUUUAUUGGGCGUAAAGAGCGUGUAGGCGGCUUGGAAGGUCAGCUGUGAAAACUCGAGGCUCAACCUCGAGACGUCGGUUGAAACCACCUGGCUAGAGUCCGGAAGAGGAGAGUGGAAUUCCCGGUGUAGCGGUGAAAUGCGCAGAUAUCGGGAAGAACACCCGUGGCGAAGGCGGCUCUCUGGGACGGUACUGACGCCGAGACGCGAAAGCGUGGGGAGCAAACAGG
rnacentral:rRNA from 1 species